rnacentral:rRNA from 1 species
UGUUUACCUACCUUUGUUGCUUUGGCGGGCCUUGGGGUUCGCCCCAUCCCGGCCACGGGCACCCGCAGCCCGGGCCAGGCCGUGCCCGUCGGGGGUCCAUCAACAUCUGUUUACCAUGGUGUCCGAAGUGAAACCCACAUCAUUAAAACCUUCAACAACCGAUCUCUUGGUUUUGGCAUCACUGAAGAACUCACCCAAAUGCCAUAAAUAAUGUGAAUUGCAAAAUUCACUGUAUCAACCAAUCUUUGAACGCUCAUUCUCCCCUCGCCAUUCCCGGUAAAACACUGUUGGAGCGUCCUUGCACCCCUCAAGCUCCCCUUGGUAUUAGGCUGACGCCCCCGCGGGGGGCCGAAAAUCUAGUGGCGGUCCGGCGUGACUUCGAGCGUAAUCAAGUUACUUUCUCUUUGGAAACUCACGCUGCGGCCGGCCAGGACGCCCACAGUUAUUAUCAAUUGACCUCGGAUCACGUAGGGAUACCCGCUGAA